UACGUAGGUAGCAAGCGUUAUCCGGAUUUACUGGGUGUAAAGGGCGCGCAGGCGGACUGGCAAGUCAGAAGUGAAAUCUGAGGGCUCAACCCUCAAACUGCUUUUGAAACUACUGGUCUUGAGUGAUGGAGAGGCAGGCGGAAUUCCCAGUGUAGCGGUGAAAUGCGUAGAUAUUGGGAGGAACACCAGUGGCGAAGGCGGCCUGCUGGACAUUAACUGACGCUGAGGCGCGAAAGCGUGGGGAGCAAACAGG
rnacentral:rRNA from 1 species